ensembl:lncRNA
UAUAAAAACAACUUUGACCUUACACUGGAGACAUGCUUCAAAAGAUUAAUUAUUCAUAUGAUCAAAAUUGCUCGAAAACAACUACUUGAAAAUAUUCUCAGAAAAAAAAAGGGUAGAUUGUUCUGAGGCAAUAACAUAAUUUUGAUACAACGAACCUGACUGCUAUUUUUUAAAAAAUUCCUGAGGCUUUUUCUUUUUUCCACAGUCACAACUUCAGCAUAAUUCUUGAGUUCAUUUUAUUAUUAUUUUGCAAAUGCCUGCUGAGCUCCUGGAAUACAGAGAAGACCACCUUGAUCACUUAGAGAAUGGGUUCCAAGAAGCUGCAUCAUCAAGCUAAGCUUCAGUCUGUUUUUCACGUGGGCCACAGAUACAGUACCUUGAACCAAAGACAUUUCAGAUCACACAUCUUUAGUCAAGCCUCUGAAUGUAUGUAAACUUCUCUGUGUGGCUCUUACAAUAGCCAAAUUCAACAUUUUACUCUGCCAGAAAAUGCCAGGUGUUAAUAGAGAAUAAUUUUAGGUACUUUCUUAACUGUACACCAGAUGAUGAUAACAAAUAUGAUAGUAUCAAACAAGUGUUAACUUGCCUCUAACCCAGCUUGCACAUGCAGUAGAUUCAAAAGGCC